GUGAGCGUAGCUCAGCCCGGUUAGAGCACUUGGCUGUGGCCCAAGCGGUCGGGGGUUCAAAUCCCCUCGCUCACCCCA
rnacentral:tRNA from 3 species